AAAAGACUCUCAAAUGUGUGAGGAGGUCUCCAUCAGUGAAGCUAUUCAAGAAGAGAGUAGAUGUCACCUGUUGAAAGUUAGAAGAACUACGUGUGAAGCCAGAGUUCUUCAGGCAAGACCAAGCCAAGGGUUUUCUAGAACUAUACCACUGUAUUGUCUGUCAGCAAACUGCUUAUUACCCACGUACCCAGAGUAACGGAACUUGCGCCUGAAUGUAAAUUAGCUACAUCACCAUACACACUGCUGAAGUCCAUUGACACUUUUUGUGGCAAGACUUUCUAGAUGGAAGAAAUGGCUGCAUUGAUUUACGAUCUGAGCUUCAGAGGAACCAGGCCCUCGAUGUUUCCCAGUAAAUCAUGACUUCAAGAUGCUCCUCAGUUUCCUUCAACCUUGACUUUCCUCCAAGAAUGCUGAGCCUUUUUCUGGUCUGUCCCUUGUACCUGCUUAGUUCUAAACUUCCUCUUUAACAUGUAGAAACAUAACAGCCAAAUAUUAAUUAGCAAUCUAGCAAUUAAGUGACUUAAAUAUGCAGAAUUGAUCUUACACAUUUAGCCUGACUCAUUUAUAUACCAUAAUUGCAAAAUAAGUUAAUAAUCUGCAAAAAUAAAAAUAGAAAAGUUUACGUCCGUAAGUCAUUUUUCAAUACUAGAAAUAUUUACCACUUCAACAA
rnacentral:lncRNA from 1 species